AGAAACCAGAGUUGGUAAUGAAGGAAGAAAAGAGGGAGCUGAAAACCUUUACGAAAGUUUCUCUCAACUUUCUUCAAGCUAUAACCAAAAGAGAUAUGUGACCUUUUCCCUUGUCAGUCUUCCCAUUUCAGAUCCUUAUAUUAUUAUAUUGUCUAGUAGUUAUUUUUGCUUAUACUUAUCAUCAGCCAAGCCAUCUUUUCUUUGAAACACACACACACACAGAGACUUUGACUCAAGGGAGACAGUUGAGUUGUUAUUAUCUGUUUCAGUCAGAGUACAUAGUACAGUACAUCUGUUACAAAGGGUGAGAAAGGUGAUGUAGAAAGAAUAAGCUUGAAAUGAAUGGACUGAUAAUGGGGGAUGUAAGAUAACAAGAUGCCACAAUGCCAACACUGAAGAAAUCAAAUGUUCUCCCACAUAAUGGAAGUGCAGACUCCAUUCAUCAAGUGUGCGCCAUCUAAAGAAGCUUGAAGUACAAUUUCCUUGGAUGCAUAAAAAACCAUUUUCUCAAUGAAUGUGUCAGCUGUUGAUAGAAAUAUGAGUGAGUGAUAUUGAUUUGAGAGGCACUGACUUAAUUUGAAUCAAAAUUGCACAGUUCACUGCUGCAGGCUACAUUAGUGCAGCAUGGCCUAUUAUUAUAGAUUCCCCUAUGUAUAAAUAAAAUAUACUUCUCGAUUUAGUCCCAAAUGCUGAAGGUUUGUUGACAUCUGGUAGUUUUCAGAUCUCAAAUUUAAGUGGCAAAUCUGUGCAUAUCCUUGAGCCCCUGUGUUUUUUGUACUUAAAAGUAGCUGGUGUGUGUGUGCAGUAGCAGCUGUAAGUCCACUCUAUAACAGGAAUAGGGAACCUAUAGUUUUCCAAAUGCCAAACUGAAACACAGCUACACUUCAAAAUUCACACUUCUCCAAAUGUCAUUCUUCCAAAUGAUGGGAACAAAAUUGUGUAUAUUAGAAGUAAGUGUGCAUAAAAAACACAUGCACUAAUGAAAUUAACAUGCCACAAAUUCAUUAUAUUCUGGGGAAAACCCAUGAGAUAAGGGAAACACCAUAAAAUAUGUCACGAGUAUCAAAAAUGUACACUAAAAUGCUGGCAAAUUCUCACGACGGCUUUUUUUAAUUAAAAAAUUGCAGACUGAUGCAGAAAUGUGGAGAACUGGAAACUGGAAAAAUGAGAAGCUGAGCGAAAGUGAAAUGGAUAGAUUAACCCAUCCCUACCAUAAGCCCCUCUUCCACAGUCUGCCUGGUUUAAAUAUGCUAUUGCUGUCUCCUCCUUUUUUAGAUAGUGCCCUUUCAAUAAACUACGUCAAAGUUUGGAUCCAAGCUAAAGAUAUAUACACAUUUGAAUGAUACUGCAGUACAAGUCAAAGUGCAAGCAGAUAAAGAGGUACUGCUCCAGCAGGAAGGUAAACAGUGUUUCAAUGCGCUGCUCUGGUUUCGCCAGAAGCAGCUUAGUCAUGCUGGCCACAUGACCCGGAAAAACUGUCUGCGGACAAACGCCGGCUCCUUUGACCUAUAGAGUGAGAUGAGCGCACAACCCCAGAGUCAUUUGCGACUGGACCUAACGGUCAGGGGUCCCUUUACCUUUACCUUUUACAGUGCAAUUGUAAUGACCAUCCAUUUAGAGAAGGAAAAGAUAGAUUGGGCUGCAAGGAAGUGUUUGGAGUUUCUUAGCUGUGCACAACCUUGACAAUUGCUGUGCCUAUAAGGGGGUGCUCCAGUCAUGAUGCCUUAUUGAAUAAUGGCACUCUAUAUUUGGUUUCUGACAGGUGUGUGUGUGUGCAUGAAGGUGGGAGAGGAGUCUGCAACAUAAUGAAAACAAUAUUUUAUGGGAGUCUUUGCUUUUCUCCUCCAGCCUGAAGCUUGUCUUUAGCAGAGUCUUUGGCAAAACAGAUGGAUGCCCAGAACUGGUGCCAAAGCAUUUAUUAUGUAGCGAGAAACAAGCUCUCCUGCUGACUGCUCUCUUCUGCCGAGAAAUGUUGACCGUACGUGCUGAACACCGGGUGACAGGAACAGACUAUUUCAUGGCUGGGAAGGAAAUAUCAAUCUGGACUUGAGUGGAACAAAGUGGGAAGGCAGUGAUUGGAAAAGCUCAGUGGCUGGAAAAGUUGAAAGGGACAGACAGGGGGAAAUAAUACUAAUAAUCGGAAUACAAGAAGCCAGAAAGGCAAAAGAAAUGAGUGCCCAUUCUACAUUCUGCCAAAUAUCCAGGCUUCCACCCAAUGCAUGCAGGCAGGGGCUCUUACUUGGAAGAGAUCCAUAUUCAUUCAAGUAAUUGGUAAAGGUUCAGCAACAGACUGAUGACCCAGGAGUUGUGAUUCAGGAGUAGGGCAAGAAGUUCAGAACUGGAUGAACCCUCUUGUUCAGUGGAUGCUGCCCCCUGCUUCCUGGAGGAAGGCCUUUGCCAUCCUCUGCUGGGAAGGUCCAAAGGCAGGUCAUUGGAGAGAACCGUUAUCCAUUCUUCCCCCUCCAAAACAAUUAAAGCCUCCCUCUCUUCCAACUCAGGUUUCCACAGUUCAGCCACCACCUUCUUCCUCCUCCCUCUGCUAGAACUUGCUAACUCAAGCUUGAUCCUGACAGUACUGCGGGGCUCAUGGCAACCUGUAAGUGUGACAUCCUACAAGGCUAUUCAGACAAUUAUAGGAAGCAAGGAAGAGGAAAUGACAUGGGUAAGUAUAGGGAUGUUGUUAAGUGCCUCCUCCAUUUUUUUUCAGUGCAGUUGCAGGAUUUGUGCCUCUUGAAGCUGUAAGAGAUCUUCCCCCCAAAACCAAACAUGCAGGAAACCACAAACAAAACCUUUUGGAAUUUAUUUCCAAUGAUGAUGAUGAUGAUGUUAUUAUUAUUAUUUAUAUGCCACCCAUCUGUGUUGCCCCAGCUACUCUGGGCGGCUCUCAACAAAAUAUUAAAAACACAAUUAAAAAAGCAACCAUUAAAAACUUCCAUGUACAGGGCUGCCUUCAGAUGUCUUCUAAAAGUCAUAUAGUCAUUUAUCUCCUUGACCUCUGCUCAGAGGGCGUUCCACAGAGUGGUUCCCUGUAACUUCACUUCUCACAGUGGGAGAAGGCUAGAAGGCCCUUGGAGCUGGAAAUGAGGGGCGUGAAGAUGCUACUGCAGGACGAAGAUGCUAGAAAUGAGCAAAUUUUAGCUUCUUGCUUCUCCAGUCUUAAAUUCAGUUCUCCACAUUUCUGCAGCAAUUGCAUCAUAUUAUUAUUAUUAUUAUUAUUAUUAUUAUUAUUUUAAAAGUCACAAAAAUCCACCAGCAUCUUAGUGCAAAUAUGUCCUAAUAUUUAUUUAGUUAGUUUUGACUAGGAUAUUAGGAAAUUAACUGCCAGAUGCAGGAGAGGCUAUGAGUGUUUGUUUUGAACAUUCGGGUCACUGAUGAUGCCCAUCUUCCAAUUUCCUGAAUGCUAUUGGAACAAGCAUAGCCUGGUGCAACAGGCUUAUCCUUCCUUUUUGGAAAGUUCACCUGUAGCUGCAUAGAGGAAAUCCAUUCAUUUCAACCUUAAAGAAAAUUAAUGUUAGCUUAAAACCAAUGUACCUUGGCCCUUUGGCUGAAUCAAAAAAAGGCCAGAAUAUGAGUCCUGGAGAUAUUGUCUGUUGAAAGUGAAUGAGAUGACUCCUAAAGACCCCAUCCUAUUACAGUUCAGAUCCUGUAGAUUCUACAGUUCAGUAAUAGGCUUUGUGUGUGUGUAAAUUCUCUGUCUUCAAAUGGAUAAACCAAAUGUUGCUUGAAUCAUAAAAAUAAACCAGCAGAAUUUGUACUGGAUAUAUUAUUAGCAUCCACCACAUUGCUAGCAAACAACUUGUAAAGCAUAUGGUGAGAAAUGUCUUGUGCGGAAAACAUUUUCAAAAGGAUCAACUCAUCACAUGCCAGGUUUUUUUCCUGCCUUUAUUUUUGCCACCAGACCACCUUUGGUUUUAAAAUGGAAGAUUAGGUUAGUUAACAACGAAGAAGACACAGAAUAAAUGCACAUUUUACUAAGCAGAUCUGAUUUUAUGCAUUGUUGAAUAUAGGGCACAAAAAACUCAUGGGUGAAACCUACCAGAGGGCAAAGUCUGGCCCAUAUAGAUAGUGGGGUCUAGGUGUAUUCUAGGUGGGGGCCAUUUUAUCAUUAUUUUAUUUAUUAAUUAGACUCAUCAAAAUGUAAGGGAUCCUAGGGAUCAUCUAUCCCUACCCCCUGCAAUGCAGGAAUCUUUUGCCAAAUGUGGGGCUCAAAUCCAUGACCUUGAGAUUAAGAGUCCAAUACCCUACUGACUGAGCUAUCCUGUCCUUCAUCCAAAGAUCACAGGGUGGAUAUCCUGUUGGCCACAUGUGCCCCCUCCCCCAGGCCUCUCUACCCUCCCCUUGAGACUCUCCUUGGGGCACAUACACUUGCCUCAGGGCCACACCCUUCACUGGUCUUCCUCAAGUGUUUUUACUUGCCUGGAAGUUGUCCUUGAAUUGUGAUAAUGCUUCUUCCUUGCUCAGAUGGAGAGGUGUGUGGUAUGUAUGUGUGUGUUUGUGUGUGGAAACCUCUGGGUUUUGUGUAGUUGGAACAUAACCUACUAUAUGAAGGUGUCCCAGCCAUUGUGCCAUGCCCAGUUUCUUCUGGGCCUAUCAACAUUUUCCCUGGUCCUGCUAACUGGCCACUAGAAGGUUGUCAAUAAGGAAAUGCAGGCUUUAAGCUGGGAGUCAGUCUCACAAACCCAGUCAUAUUCCAUGCACCCUUUCAAAAACUGUGCUUGCGUGGAAUUUGCUGUCGGGCCCCCAACUGAAGAUCCUGAUAAAAUCUAUUUUUGUUUAAGCUUGAAAUUGUAUGUUCAAUGCCUUUAGAACUUUUGGAAGCCGGAUGAGGGACACAGUGGUGGCUGGUAUCCAUUGGACAGCGGGGAGACUAGCAGUAGGUGGAGCCAGAGCUAGUGAUAGAUGGAGCCAACUCAUUCUAGGUUUGUCCCCAUCCUUCUACCUGCUGACUUCUACAGGGGCAACACUGGCACUAACGGCAUGAGAGGUGAUGUUUUUGAGGGUUCCUCAGUUGUCGUGCUGCCUCCAGAGAUCCGACAAUAACCAUCUAUCCUCUGGUUCCAUCAGGUACUGAAGAUGUACCUCUUCACUCAGGCCUUGGGGUCUUCUUGGAGUUGCUGAUGAUUUAGGUUCCGAGACAGCUUCAUCAUUGUGACUCAACCCCACAUUGCAGGAGCAGGGGAGUUAAUAUUAUUAUUGUGGUCUUUUCUGCAGAAUUAAAGUCUUUCAGGUCAAGGAUGGGGAGCUCAGCUCAGUCCUGCCCCUUCCUCUGCUCUGCUCUGAAGCAGGAGCUUUGACACACUUUUGGCAGUGGGAAUGCUGCACCAGCAGAGAAAGAUCUCCCCUCAACUCCACCCCUCCAUCUGAUGCAACAAGGGUUUGGAUUGCUCUGUUUGUGUGACUGCAGCUAAUUAAAGAG